GACGAACGCUGGCGGCGUGCCUAAUACAUGCAAGUUGAGCGCUGAAGGUUGGUACUUGUACCAACUGGAUGAGCAGCGAACGGGUGAGUAACGCGUGGGGAAUCUGCCUUUGAGCGGGGGACAACAUUUGGAAACGAAUGCUAAUACCGCAUAAAAACUUUAAACACAAGUUUUAAGUUUGAAAGAUGCAAUUGCAUCACUCAAAGAUGAUCCCGCGUUGUAUUAGCUAGUUGGUGAGGUAAAGGCUCACCAAGGCGAUGAUACAUAGCCGACCUGAGAGGGUGAUCGGCCACAUUGGGACUGAGACACGGCCCAAACUCCUACGGGAGGCAGCAGUAGGGAAUCUUCGGCAAUGGACGAAAGUCUGACCGAGCAACGCCGCGUGAGGGAAGAAGGUUUUCGGAUCGUAAAACUCGGUUGGUAGAGAAGAACGUUGGUGAGAGUGGAAAGCUCAUCAAGUGACGGUAACUACACAGAAAGGGACGGCUAACUACGUG
rnacentral:rRNA from 1 species